rnacentral:lncRNA from 1 species
CUGCGAGUUGGAGCGGACUGGAAUUCCGCUUCCCUUCCGUCCCGAAGUUUCUGCGCGGUGUCAACACACACAGUAGGACUCCUCUGCUGAGUACGUCAGUGAGAAGUAGUGCGAGUGUGACUUUUCACCUCCAGUAUCUUGAUCUCUGUGCUGUCCUUCAGUGCUGAUCCAGACCCAGCUCGUCCUGCUGCGCUGAAAGGGAACACGCCUCACAGGACAGGAAGAGGUACGGCCACUUGGCUUCAGUUUACAUUAAGCACAGUCUCAAAAACGUCCCCAUUAAGCAGAAAGGAGUGCGCUGGGGUCAGGUUCAAGGAGUGAAAGGCAUUCAUUAUAAAUACAUAAUAUAUAUUGAUGUAAUGUAUUGAUAGCAA